UUUUUCUGCUGGUCCUACAGUAUCACCUGGAUACAAAAACAGAACAGGAAGAGCAGCGCCAGGGCCAGAGCUGCAGCCCAUGAAGAGCAGCCUGCAGUGGGGUGGGAGGGCUGGAGGAGCUGCUGCCCAUUGGGGACCCAUGUGGAGCAGUGCCUGAAAGGUGGGUCCCAUGUUCUGACUACAGUGUGAUCAAAGCGAAAUGUGGC
rnacentral:lncRNA from 1 species